AGAUUAAGUUAUUAAGGGCGCACGGUGGAUGCCUUGGCACUAGAAGCCGAUGAAGGACGUUACUAACGACGAUAUGCUUUGGGGAGCUGUAAGUAAGCUUUGAUCCAGAGAUUUCCGAAUGGGGAAACCCAGCAUGAGUUAUGUCAUGUUAUCGAUAUGUGAAUACAUAGCAUAUCAGAAGGCACACCCGGAGAACUGAAACAUCUUAGUACCCGGAGGAAGAGAAAGAAAAUUCGAUUCCCUUAGUAGCGGCGAGCGAAACGGGAAGAGCCCAAACCAACAAGCUUGCUUGUUGGGGUUGUAGGACACUCUAUACGGAGUUACAAAGGACGACAUUAGACGAAUCAUCUGGAAAGAUGAAUCAAAGAAGGUAAUAAUCCUGUAGUCGAAAAUGUUGUCUCUCUUGAGUGGAUCCUGAGUACGACGGAGCACGUGAAAUUCCGUCGGAAUCUGGGAGGACCAUCUCCUAAGGCUAAAUACUCUCUAGUGACCGAUAGUGAACCAGUACCGUGAGGGAAAGGUGAAAAGCACCCCGGAAGGGGAGUGAAAUAGAACCUGAAACCGUGUACUUACAAGUAGUCAGAGCCCGUUAAUGGGUGAUGGCGUGCCUUUUGUAGAAUGAACCGGCGAGUUACGAUUUGAUGCAAGGUUAAGCAGUAAAUGUGGAGCCGUAGCGAAAGCGAGUCUGAAUAGGGCGUUUAGUAUUUGGUCGUAGACCCGAAACCAGGUGAUCUACCCUUGGUCAGGUUGAAGUUCAGGUAACACUGAAUGGAGGACCGAACCGACUUACGUUGAAAAGUGAGCGGAUGAACUGAGGGUAGCGGAGAAAUUCCAAUCGAACCUGGAGAUAGCUGGUUCUCUCCGAAAUAGCUUUAGGGCUAGCCUCAAGUGAUGAUUAUUGGAGGUAGAGCACUGUUUGGACGAGGGGCCCCUCUCGGGUUACCGAAUUCAGACAAACUCCGAAUGCCAAUUAAUUUAACUUGGGAGUCAGAACAUGGGUGAUAAGGUCCGUGUUCGAAAGGGAAACAGCCCAGACCACCAGCUAAGGUCCCAAAAUAUAUGUUAAGUGGAAAAGGAUGUGGCGUUGCCCAGACAACUAGGAUGUUGGCUUAGAAGCAGCCAUCAUUUAAAGAGUGCGUAAUAGCUCACUAGUCGAGUGACACUGCGCCGAAAAUGUACCGGGGCUAAACAUAUUACCGAAGCUGUGGAUUGUCCUUUGGACAAUGGUAGGAGAGCGUUCUAAGGGCGUUGAAGCAUGAUCGUAAGGACAUGUGGAGCGCUUAGAAGUGAGAAUGCCGGUGUGAGUAGCGAAAGACGGGUGAGAAUCCCGUCCACCGAUUGACUAAGGUUUCCAGAGGAAGGCUCGUCCGCUCUGGGUUAGUCGGGUCCUAAGCUGAGGCCGACAGGCGUAGGCGAUGGAUAACAGGUUGAUAUUCCUGUACCACCUAUAAUCGUUUUAAUCGAUGGGGGGACGCAGUAGGAUAGGCGAAGCGUGCGAUUGGAUUGCACGUCUAAGCAGUAAGGCUGAGUAUUAGGCAAAUCCGGUACUCGUUAAGGCUGAGCUGUGAUGGGGAGAAGACAUUGUGUCUUCGAGUCGUUGAUUUCACACUGCCGAGAAAAGCCUCUAGAUAGAAAAUAGGUGCCCGUACCGCAAACCGACACAGGUAGUCAAGAUGAGAAUUCUAAGGUGAGCGAGCGAACUCUCGUUAAGGAACUCGGCAAAAUGACCCCGUAACUUCGGGAGAAGGGGUGCUCUUUAGGGUUAACGCCCAGAAGAGCCGCAGUGAAUAGGCCCAAGCGACUGUUUAUCAAAAACACAGGUCUCUGCUAAACCGUAAGGUGAUGUAUAGGGGCUGACGCCUGCCCGGUGCUGGAAGGUUAAGAGGAGUGGUUAGCUUCUGCGAAGCUACGAAUCGAAGCCCCAGUAAACGGCGGCCGUAACUAUAACGGUCCUAAGGUAGCGAAAUUCCUUGUCGGGUAAGUUCCGACCCGCACGAAAGGCGUAACGAUUUGGGCACUGUCUCAACGAGAGACUCGGUGAAAUCAUAGUACCUGUGAAGAUGCAGGUUACCCGCGACAGGACGGAAAGACCCCGUGGAGCUUUACUGUAGCCUGAUAUUGAAAUUCGGCACAGCUUGUACAGGAUAGGUAGGAGCCUUUGAAACGUGAGCGCUAGCUUACGUGGAGGCGCUGGUGGGAUACUACCCUAGCUGUGUUGGCUUUCUAACCCGCACCACUUAUCGUGGUGGGAGACAGUGUCAGGCGGGCAGUUUGACUGGGGCGGUCGCCUCCUAAAAGGUAACGGAGGCGCUCAAAGGUUCCCUCAGAAUGGUUGGAAAUCAUUCAUAGAGUGUAAAGGCAUAAGGGAGCUUGACUGCGAGACCUACAAGUCGAGCAGGGUCGAAAGACGGACUUAGUGAUCCGGUGGUUCCGCAUGGAAGGGCCAUCGCUCAACGGAUAAAAGCUACCCCGGGGAUAACAGGCUUAUCUCCCCCAAGAGUUCACAUCGACGGGGAGGUUUGGCACCUCGAUGUCGGCUCAUCGCAUCCUGGGGCUGUAGUCGGUCCCAAGGGUUGGGCUGUUCGCCCAUUAAAGCGGUACGCGAGCUGGGUUCAGAACGUCGUGAGACAGUUCGGUCCCUAUCCGUCGUGGGCGUAGGAAAUUUGAGAGGAGCUGUCCUUAGUACGAGAGGACCGGGAUGGACAUACCUCUGGUGUACCAGUUGUCGUGCCAACGGCAUAGCUGGGUAGCUAUGUGUGGACGGGAUAAGUGCUGAAAGCAUCUAAGCAUGAAGCCCCCCUCAAGAUGAGAUUUCCCAACUUCGGUUAUAAGAUCCCUCAAAGAUGAUGAGGUUAAUAGGUUCGAGGUGGAAGCAUGGUGACAUGUGGAGCUGACGAAUACUAAUCGAUCGAAGACUUAAUCAAAUU
rnacentral:rRNA from 1 species